UACGUAGGGAGCAAGCGUUGUCCGGAAUCAUUGGGCGUAAAGCGCGUGUAGGCGGUCCGGUAAGUCCGCUGUGAAAGUCGAGGGCUCAACCCUCGAAUGCCGGUGGAUACUGUCGGGCUAGAGUGCGGAAGAGGCGAGUGGAAUUCCUGGUGUAGCGGUGAAAUGCGCAGAUAUCAGGAGGAACACCUAUUGCGAAGGCAGCUCGCUGGGACGUUACUGACGCUGAGACGCGAAAGCGUGGGGAGCAAACAGG
rnacentral:rRNA from 1 species